ACAGCAGCAGCCACGGUAAUGCGUAGGGUGCGAGCGUUAAUCGGAAUUACUGGGCGUAAAGGGCUCGCAGGCGGUUUCUUAAGUCUGAUGUGAAAGCCCCCGGCUCAACCGGGGAGGGUCAUUGGAAACUGGGAAACUUGAGUGCAGAAGAGGAGAGUGGAAUUCCACGUGUAGCGGUGAAAUGCGUAGAGAUGUGGAGGAACACCAGUGGCGAAGGCGACUCUCUGGUCUGUAACCGACGCUGAGGAGCGAAAGCGUGGGGAGCGAACAGGAUUAGAUACCCGUGUAGUCCCUGUCUCUUAUAC
rnacentral:rRNA from 1 species